AGUUAUAUAGAAUAGUAGUCAGUAUAUAUACCUUCUAUCUACUCGAUCUCAGGGCCUUAGUCGCCUAGGAUUAAGCAAAACUAGUGUAAGGUCGUAGGUUCGAAUCCUAUUAUAGCCU